ensembl:lncRNA
GUUGACGCGGCGCGAUUUGACGCUGGAGUUCAAAUUUUUCCAACUCGAGCGGUAGAGGCGAAACACGCGUAUGCACAAAAUGCAACACAAAAACUCACGCGCGUGGUUUUUUCCGCGAAUCAAACGCGCCAGACGCGGUACACUGACGCGCGUUUCACGCGUUUUGGCGUUUUCGCGACGCAAAUCUGCCUCCGAAUUUUCGCCGGACGCGCAAUCGCGUGUCAUCGCGCUCUUUCCAUUGACUUUACAUGUAAACCUGACGCUCUGGCCGCCUCUAUCGCGUUCGGUGUGAACACACCGUUAUAGUUAGUUUUUAAACUCAAAACACUAAUACUUCUUCCAAUAACAUCAAUGGAAUAAACGUCGACAACUGUGUGAUUCAGCAGUCUUCAUCCACUGUGAUUACAGCCGAAUACAGGGUCAUGAGGAGGUGGGGCCUGUCCCAGAUGUCUUAGGGAGGAAGCCGGAGUACCCAGAGAGAAUCCACAAACUCCGGGAGAACAUGCAAACUCCACACAGAAAGACCCGGGCCUGAUGGUGGAAUUGAGCUCAAGACCUUUCUUGCUGUGAGGCAACAGUGCUAACCACCAAAAUCUACUCAUAUCAUGGUAAUUUUAAAGUAAAGGAAAAAGUGACUCUGACAUUUAGAGAAAUACAAGAUCUUGUCUAAUUUCACUUUGAAGUUUAG